AGUGAACGUUGGCGGCGUGGAUUAGGCAUGCAAGUCGAGCGGGAACCGUAGCAAUACGGGGACAGCGGCGAAAGGGACAGUAAUGUGUAGGUACCUACCCCGAGGUCUGGGAUAGCUGCGGGAAACUGCAGGUAAUACCGGAUAAUGUCUUCGGACCAAAGGUGUGAUUCCACCUUGGGAGGGGCCUGCAUCCUAUUAGCUAGUUGGCGGGGUAUGGCCCACCAAGGCGACGAUGGGUAGCGGGUGUGAGAGCACGACCCGCGUCAUUGGGACUGAGACACUGCCCAGACACCUACGGGUGGCCGCAGUCGAGGAUCUUCGGCAAUGGGCGAAAGCCUGACCGAGCGACGCCGCGUGCGGGAUGAAGGCCUUCGGGUUGUAAACCGCUGUCGUAGAGGAGGAAAUGCAGGUGGGUUCUCCCAUCUGUUUGACCUAUUCUAGGAGGAAGUACGGGCUAAGUUCGUGCCAGCAGCCGCCGUAA
rnacentral:rRNA from 1 species